rnacentral:sRNA from 1 species
AUACAUAUUCUUAACAAGACGGCUGGCCCUAAAUGUGUAA